AUCGAACGCUGGCGGCAUGCCUAACACAUGCAAGUCGAACGGGUAGCGGACGGGUGAAUAAUGUCUGGGCACCUGCCUGAUGGACGGGGAUAACUACUGGAACCGUUAGCUAAUACCGCAUACCACGCGUUGUGCCCAGAUGGGAUUAGCUAGUGGGUGGGGUAAAGGCUCACCUAGGCGACGAUCCCUAGCAGGUCUGAGAGGAUGACCAGCCACACUGGAACUGAGACACGGUCCAGACUCCUACGGGAGGCAGCAGUAGGGAAUAUUGCACAAUGGGCGCAAGCCUGAUGCAGCCAUGCCGCGUGUAUGAAGAAGGCCUUCGGGUUGUAAAGUACUUUCAGCGGGGAGGCGUUACCCGCCGAGGAAGCACCGGCUAACUCCGUGCCAGCAGCCGCGGUAAUAC
rnacentral:rRNA from 1 species